rnacentral:pre_miRNA from 1 species
CCUGCCAGAGAGGGCUUUUGGUUUAUCCUAUGUGCUGUGGCUUAUGUACAAUUCGAAAGUCAUAUGCCACGGCGGAUAUAGGAGCAAUCAUUAGCCACAAAGCCAACUAUCCGUGGAU